GGCUACGUAGCUCAGUUGGUUAGAGCACAUCACUCAUAAUGAUGGGGUUACAGGUUCGAAUCCCGUCGUAGCCACCA
rnacentral:tRNA from 1 species